rnacentral:lncRNA from 1 species
GAGAGCUGGCCCUGCCCCUUGCCAGCUGUGAUGCAGGGCAAGCUAGCUGGGGCAGUGCUAGACAGUUCACCCGGGUGAUACCGGUGCAGCUGGUGGGCUGACCAACUCAGCUACCAACCAGGCCCAGAUCCAGGGCUUUGAGUUAGCCCACCCCAACAUCUACCCCAUCUAUGAACUGCUGGGUGGUGUGAAAAGGCCAGUCCUACAGAUCCAAAGCUGCAGGAUCUCCAUGACAUAGGGCAAUAAUAACAGGCUGACGAGGAGAAGUCCCCAUGAGGAUCUAGUAUUAAUGAUGUAGCAGGAGUAGGGGGCCUUGAACCAGAGCAGUGACUCCUUGCAAUGAACACUUGGGACCAAAAACUGACAUCAUCCUCCUGGGAAGACACUUCCUGCUCUGAGCUUCUUCAGGCCAUUGGAAUGGUUAUAUCAUUUUUAUUGUAAGUUUUUAUUUGGCUUAGUUUGAGACAGAGUCUCAUGUAGUCCAGACUAGCCCUGAACUUCUGAUCCCCCUGCCUCCACCUCCCCGCCUGGGAGCUGGGAUCAUAGGCAUGAACCACCA